rnacentral:tRNA from 10 species
GGGGCCUUAGCUCAGUUGGUAGAGCGCCGCCUUUGCAAGGCGGAUGUCAGGAGUUCGAAUCUCCUAGGCUCCACAA